UGGGGAAUUUUGGACAAUGGGCGCAAGCCUGAUCCAGCCAUGCCGCGUGCGGGAAGAAGGCCUUCGGGUUGUAAACCGCUUUUGUCAGGGAAGAAAUCUUCUGAGUUAAUACCUCGGGAGGAUGACGGUACCUGAAGAAUAAGCACCGGCUAACUACGUGCCAGCAGCCGCGGUAAUACGUAGGGUGCAAGCGUUAGUCGGAAUUACUGGGCGUAAAGCGUGCGCAGGCGGUUUUGUAAGACAGAGGUGAAAUCCCCGGGCUCAACCUGGGAACUGCCUUUGUGACUGCAAGGCUUGAGUGCGGCAGAGGGGGGAUGGAAUUCCGCGUGUAGCAGUGAAAUGCGUAGAUAUGCGGAGGAACACCGAUGGCGAAGGCAAUCCCCUGGGCCUGCACUGACGCUCAUGCACGAAAAGCGUGGGGAGCAAACAGGAUUAGAUACCCUGGUAGUCCACGCCCUAAAACGAUGUCAACUGGUUGUUGGGAAGGUUCCUUCUCAGUAACGUAGCUAACGCGUGAAGUUGACCGCCUGGGGAGUACGGCCGCAAGGUUGAAACUUAAAUGAAUUGACGGGGUCAUAGCUGUUUCCUAG
rnacentral:rRNA from 1 species